UUUUUUGUUUCGUUGAUUUGAUGGUUUGUAUGUCACUAUGAAAGAAUCUAAGAAGACUCAUCUCAGAUAGACAACUUACAAGGGAAACCAGUGAUGUUCUAGUGCAUCAUGGGUGCUCAUUUGUGAUGAGCUUUUAGGUUUUGCACAUCCAUCCUUAAAGGUUCUUCAAAGGAGGCUACAAUUGCAAACCAAGAGGUAGAAAGAUUUGCGAAAAAUUGUAAGUUUACAUGUGACUACUCAAAGUUGAGAUAAUUAGGCAUGUAAAUGUUAAAGGUCUAUCAUGAAAUUUUGACAUAUUUAUGUCUUUAAUGAACUUUGAUUGAAUUAAUCAGAACAAGAAAUGACCUUGAAGGUUUGCUUUUUGA